rnacentral:pre_miRNA from 1 species
UUUGCUCGAAAUCUCAGAGACACACUUAUAAUAUAUUAGGCUCCUAUUACCACACUCCCUUAAACUUAUUGUAUAAGUAAUUUUCUAUCCCUUUUCGACAUACGUGACACUAACUUGAAAAAAAAAGUCAAUCAUGGGUCCACAAGAGUGUCACGUAGGUCGAAAAGGGGUAAAAAAUUAUUAAUAAAAUAAGUUCAGGAAUAAUAGAACCUUAUUAUAGUAUAACUGUGUCUCUGAGAUUUCGGACAUAGG